rnacentral:rRNA from 1 species
AUACGGAAGAUGCGAGCGUUAUCCGGAUUUAUUGGGUUUAAAGGGAGCGUAGACGGACGCUUAAGUCUGCGGUAAAAUGUCGUCGCUCAACAUCGGCGUGCCGUGGAAACUGGGUGUCUUGAAUGUGCACAAGGUGGAUGGAAUUCGUGGUGUAGCGGUGAAAUGCUUAGAUAUCUCGAAGAACUCCGAUUGCGAAGGCAGUCCACUGGGGCAUGAUUGACGCUGAGGCUCGAAAGUGCGGGAAUCAAACAGGAUUAGAUACCCUGGUAGUCCGCACCGUAAACGAUGAGUGCCCGUCGUUGGCGAUACACAGUCAGCGACCAAGCGAAAGCAUUAAGCACUCCACCUGGGGAGUACGCCGGCAACGGUGAAACUCAAAUGAAUUGGCGGGG